GACGAACGCUGGCGGCGUGCUUAACACAUGCAAGUCGAACGGAAAGGCCCUGCUUUUGUGGGGUGCUCGAGUGGCGAACGGGUGAGUAACACGUGAGUAACCUGCCCUUGACUUUGGGAUAACUUCAGGAAACUGGGGCUAAUACCGGAUAGGAGCUCCUGCUGCAUGGUGGUGGUUGGAGAGUUUCGGCGGUUGGGGCUGGACUCGCGGCUUAUCAGCUUGUUGGUGGGGUAGUGGCUUACGAAGGGUUUGACGGGUAGCCGGCCUGAGAGGGUGACCGGCCACCUGGGGACUGAGAUACGGACCAGAAUGCUACGGGAGGCAGCAGUGGGGAAUCUUGCACAAUGGGCGGAAGCCUGAUGCAGCAACGCCGCGUGCGGGAUGACGGCCUUCGGGUUGUAAACAGAUUUCGCCUGUGCCGAAGCGUGAGUGACGGUAAUGAGUAAAGAAGCAACGGCUAACUACGUG
rnacentral:rRNA from 1 species